GUGGGGAAUUUUGGACAAUGGGGGCAACCCUGAUCCAGCCAUGCCGCGUGCGGGAAGAAGGCCUUCGGGUUGUAAACCGCUUUUAGUCGGGAAGAAAAGGCGCGGCCUAAUACGUCGCGUUCUUGACGGUACCGGCGGAAUAAGCACCGGCUAACUACGUGCCAGCAGCCGCGGUAAUACGUAGGGUGCGAGCGUUAAUCGGAAUUACUGGGCGUAAAGCGUGCGCAGGCGGUUCGUUAAGUCUGAUGUGAAAGCCCCGGGCUCAACCUGGGAAUGGCAUUGGAAACUGGCGGGCUUGAGUGUGGCAGAGGGGGGUGGAAUUCCGCGUGUAGCAGUGAAAUGCGUAGAGAUGCGGAGGAACACCGAUGGCGAAGGCAGCCCCCUGGGCUAACACUGACGCUCAGGCACGAAAGCGUGGGGAGCAAACAGGAUUAGAUACCCUAGUAGUCC
rnacentral:rRNA from 1 species